AAGGUAAAUUUUUAAAAAAAUAAAUUUAAGGUGGUGAGUUACUGAGGAAAGUGUGACAUCAUCCUCUGGCCUCUCCUUGUAGGAGCAUGUGUGUGCACAUGCACCUGAAUGCACACACUCACACCCAUGUCCAUACCACCCCCAACUCCCCCAUGAGGGGGUGGGCGAGGAAGAGACUGGGGAGUCAGCCUCCCGUGAACAAAGCCUGGGCUCCAGUAAUCCUAACAGUAACUAGGUGCUGGAAUAAUGGCCCACAGUGUUUUGUAGACAAAUAGGUCCCUUCUUGUGACCCUGAGAAAGAAUCAACACUUCUGUGGCACCAAGAUUCAAGCGGAGCCCCGGGGCCUCCGUUAGGCUUCCAAAAGGAAUGUUCUCUGUAAGCAGUGUGUGAGUCAAGCCUGGGCCGUCUCCCUGGUGACAAGGACGCAGCAUCCCUCUGCAGAGCAAAUACCCAGCACGCUCUGCUCUGCUCCAUGCAGGAAAUCAAUGAACCCGGUCAGGCGUUUCAGCUUUAAUUACCUGGGAUGCCGUCAACAACAGAGAGCCCAGUGAAAACAAACCGCUACCCUGCUAUGUGAGGGGCCCUGACAUCUGACUCGCUGCUGUCAAAACACGGCUUUUCUUUUUUCUUUGAGAUCCAAGGAUAUGAGGCAGGACAGAGACAAGCAGAGGAAGAGAACCGAGUGGCUCCUGAUGCCGAGAGCCUCUGCACAGCUUUUACCCUGAUCCCCGAUCCCCACCUCGGUCUCUUUGCUGGUCCCCACGUCAACUCACUGAGCUCUGGCCCCUUCUUCGGCCACAUUGAAUCCCGCCGUCUCCUCCAAGGGGCCACCAUGUUCCCAUCCUGCCAAGAUGCUCUACGUAUCUUUCUGCCAUUUGCCUCCGCCUCUGACACUUCCACGUGCCUAUCCUGCCUUCGGGGUGUACAGCAAAAACACCGGUCCCUGGUGUUGGGCACCAUCAUCCAGCAUCCACGUUCUGACCCCAGGGUGCGCUUCCUGCAUUUCUGACCAGGCCACGCCUCCGAUGGACGCAUGCUGACCUGGCACUACCGCCAAAGGCUGGAGGCCUUGAGCUGCUCUGCUCUGUCCUUGCCCUCCCCUCCCUUCCCCUCCCUGGACUGCUGAGCCUCUUCCUCCCCAGGCCCACAAACCCCUAGUUCCUUCUCUCCCAUCUCUGGUCAUAUCCCUCCCUGCUAUCCCCGCCAAGGCAGGGUAAAAGUCAAACCCCUAUCCCGUGGGGACAUCAUCACCUGCGGUCCAUUCCCCCCUCGUCGCUUCCUUUUUUCUACUUUCUUUUCUAUGAACAUUUCUGAAGCGGCCAUCCUUUAUUUUUUUUUUUUCUUAAUAAAAACAAACAAACAAACAAAAAAAAGCAAUCUCUCUUUGGAAUUGCCAAAGUAGCACGUUUGCCAUAAUUGAUGAAUUAAAGACUUAAAAACAAACAACCAGCUUAAUCUCACCACAGGAAUCUUGCCCCAAGACUAAGGGGUGCAACUCAUCCUGUAGGGUGCUUGCCUGGCAUACUUGAAGACCUGGGUUCAGUUCUCAGUACCGAAUAAACUGGGAUCAGUUCCGUACACCCAUAAUCCCAGCACUCCAGCGGCGGUGGAGGCCAAGAGGAAUAGGCGUUAAGGUCAUCCUCAGGAAGUGUGAGGCUAGGCAGGGCUACUUGAGAUCUUCUCUCAAAUUAAAAAAAAAAAAAUCAUUAUUGCCUCCUCAGGGCCUGGUAGCUCAUGCCGGUAAUACCAGCCGUUGAAAAGCUAAGGCUUGCUGGGAGUUUGAGGCUAGCCUGGGCUGCAGUGCAAGUUGGAGUCAGUCGGGGCUAUUUAUUGAGAUUCCCAACACACAAAACAAAAACUGAAAGAAUCAUGGCCCUGCCAGUCUACUGCAUCUACUAUACAUCACUUCCUCCCCGUGCCCCUGUAUGUAUGGCCCCACCGGGGUGAAGUCAGGGUUGUUGGGCACUGGUGUACACCCUUCACUACUUUUUCCAUGUCUACACCACAAUUAAAACACCUUCACGUCCAUGUGGGGCGGUUUGGCUUCCACAGGAACGGACAUGCAUUUUGAAAGUCCCAGAUGUCACCCAUUGGCUCACGAUUUCCUCCCCGGUAAGUUUCCGGCUGUCUUAGCCUGAGGGCUAUAAUGUCAUUCUUCCUUUCAGAACUGCUGAGAGAGCACGGUGCACAGAGCAGUAGCUAAACGGUUGACUAAUGCAACUGAGCCAGGACCGAACUGGGUCCCCCCCCCCCC